UUUUGGCUGCAAACUAGUCGAUCAAAAAAUUGUUGCCAUUCGCUUAAUGAGAAAAUCGAUCAUAAAUGUCUAACGGCUGUUAAAACUUUUGCGAAAAUCACGACGAUGACUGAUAAGAAUUGGUCAAUGGGUGGGUUCUCUGUUUCUAUCGAUUUACUUUCUUAAUGAUGUUUAAUUAUUGCUUCCGACACAGGUGCCGAUUGCCUGUGAUUGUGCCUUUCUGGUUAACAUUGUUUACGUUUCUCGUUCUCCCCAUAUAUGUAUAUCUGCUGUCCUAACUUUUACAAUUAUCCAAAAUAUCAUGUCUGUUAACCAGUUCUCAGUGCCCCAGAUAAGCUGCGUAUCUGCGUCUUUCACCCUAUUAAAAUAUUUAAAAAUGCAAAGAAAAACAAUAUCAUGAGUAUUGAAAAGGCAACCAAUUUGACUUUUACGCAAAUUCAUCAAAUUAACGAUACAAAACUUCGAUUAAAAAUGCUAUGCUCAUUUUAGGUAUUUUCUCUUUGGAAUUAUUAUCAUAACGCGGUGACGCUUACACUCAGUAAGCUUAGCAAACGGUCAUAGUUAUUCAAACGCUAUGCGUUUUCAAUCUGACCUAAUUCGUCGCUCAUUGUGCAUGUAUUUGUAAAGCGUCUGUAGUUUCAGUUUCUAUUACGAUGCGAAAUAAAAAUAGCUAAGAGAGGUCGAAAGACGUCCGAGAUUGUUGCGCCAAAAUAUCAGCCGAUCGCAAACUUUUUCGAAUCAAGAAAGCAAGAGCCAAUAAGUGCCGAAUCAUUCGUGUUAUCGAUUUUGUUAGAAACUGUGCAUACAGCAUUUGAGUUGACAUCCAAAAAACAUGAUGGAAAGUCUGUGACUUAACAAAUCUGUCAAAAGUAUAAAAAGGCAUGUCAUUGGUUAGAAAUUCUCGACAUUUUUUAAAGUUUAUAUCAUGGACAGUUUCAAGGAUAAAAGAUGUUACAAAACAUCAGUUUAUUAAAAUGUAUGAUGAUAGUUUACAGUUCUAUUGAAUCAAUACAAGAGUGCAGCGUCAACGGAAGUAAAUCAGCAAUUAUUUAAAGGUGGACUUCAAUAUGUAUGAUCUACUUAUGCUGCCACAAUGUAAAGGCAACAAUCACUGGGUUUUGCUGGUUGCAAGUGUUAUGUCCAGGACUGUAACCAUUUACGACUCAUUGGGUGGUAACAACAAGGCCUUGUUCGAUUUGUUCUGCCAGUUCAUGUGUCAACGAGGGCAAAUUGUGAAAGAUGGCUUGGAAAAAAUCAGUUCAGAGUUAAAAGCGCCACCUUGCAACAAACAGCGCCACGGAAACAGCUGUGGAGUGUUUGCAUUGAUGACUGCCAAAUGUUUGGUCAUUAAAAAGCAUCCCACAAUGUUGCGACAGGCCUAUGAUUCAGUUUAUCGAGACUAGUCGUGAGAAGCAGACUUCUGAUUCCUGGAGUGCGGCAAACAUAUCUGUGCGACUCGAUCACUCCACUGUAAAGACCCGCACGGCAUUAAAAUGGAUAUUAUCAAUAUGUGUUGUUGCUCGAAAAUAUGUUUGUGUAGCAGGAAGUGCUUUGGGCUCGAUUAAUCUGAGAACUCAACAAAAUAUUAAUAAAAUCCUUCUGUGCCUUUUAGUUCUGAAAACAGAAGUAGCCAGUUGGUAUUACACAUCUCCUAAACAAGUACAGCACGAUAAAACUUAUAAACCUAGAUAUUUAUUUAUGUAGUGGUGUAUUUUUCAAUGAGUGCCUUAUGAUUCCAAAAACAUAUUGACUUAAAAUAAAUAAUCCCGAUGGCGUAAAUGACUUAUCAUUUCAUGUUCAUGAACCGGCUUUAAAAUACUUUGUAGACUUAUCUGCUAGGCGGUGAGGACUUUUAGACCACCUGAUAAACUUCAACUUUAUUUGCCCUAGUUCAGUAACCGACUAAACAUAUGCUAACAUUAUACUGAUGACUGAUGA